CGGAGCUUGCUCCACCGGAAAAAGAGGAGUGGCGAACGGGUGAGUAACACGUGGGUAACCUGCCCAUCAGAAGGGGAUAACACUUGGAAACAGGUGCUAAUACCGUAUAACAAUCAAAACCGCAUGGUUUUGAUUUGAAAGGCGCUUUCGGGUGUCGCUGAUGGAUGGACCCGCGGUGCAUUAGCUAGUUGGUGAGGUAACGGCUCACCAAGGCCACGAUGCAUAGCCGACCUGAGAGGGUGAUCGGCCACAUUGGGACUGAGACACGGCCCAAACUCCUACGGGAGGCAGCAGUAGGGAAUCUUCGGCAAUGGACGAAAGUCUGACCGAGCAACGCCGCGUGAGUGAAGAAGGUUUUCGGAUCGUAAAACUCUGUUGUUAGAGAAGAACAAGGAUGAGAGUAACUGUUCAUCCCUUGACGGUAUCUAACCAGAAAGCCACGGCUAACUACGUGCCAGCAGCCGCGGUAAUACGUAGGUGGCAAGCGUUGUCCGGAUUUAUUGGGCGUAAAGCGAGCGCAGGCGGUUUCUUAAGUCUGAUGUGAAAGCCCCCGGCUCAACCGGGGAGGGUCAUUGGAAACUGGGAGACUUGAGUGCAGAAGAGGAGAGUGGAACUCCUUGGUGUAGCGCCG
rnacentral:rRNA from 1 species